rnacentral:rRNA from 1 species
GAGUUUGAUCAUGGCUCAGAUUGAACGCUGGCGGCAGGCCUAACACAUGCAAGUCGAACGGUAACAGGAAGCAGCUUGCUGCUUCGCUGACGAGUGGCGGACGGGUGAGUAAUGUCUGGGAAGCUGCCUGAUGGAGGGGGAUAACUACUGGAAACGGUAGCUAAUACCGCAUAAUGUCGCAAGACCAAAGAGGGGGACCUUCGGGCCUCUUGCCAUCGGAUGUGCCCAGAUGGGAUUAGCUUGUUGGUGGGGUAACGGCUCACCAAGGCGACGAUCCCUAGCUGGUCUGAGAGGAUGACCAGCCACACUGGAACUGAGACACGGUCCAGACUCCUACGGGAGGCAGCAGUGGGGAAUAUUGCACAAUGGGCGCAAGCCUGAUGCAGCCAUGCCGCGUGUAUGAAGAAGGCCUUCGGGUUGUAAAGUACUUUCAGCGGGGAGGAAGGGAGUAAAGUUAAUACCUUUGCUCAUUGACGUUACCCGCAGAAGAAGCACCGGCUAACUCCGUGCCAGCAGCCGCGGUAAUACGGAGGGUGCAAGCGUUAAUCGGAAUUACUGGGCGUAAAGCGCACGCAGGCGGUUUGUUAAGUCAGAUGUGAAAUCCCCGGGCUCAACCUGGGAACUGCAUCUGAUACUGGCAAGCUUGAGUCUCGUAGAGGGGGGUAGAAUUCCAGGUGUAGCGGUGAAAUGCGUAGAGAUCUGGAGGAAUACCGGUGGCGAAGGCGGCCCCCUGGACGAAGACUGACGCUCAGGUGCGAAAGCGUGGGGAGCAAACAGGAUUAGAUACCCUGGUAGUCCACGCCGUAAACGAUGUCGACUUGGAGGUUGUGCCCUUGAGGCGUGGCUUCCGGAGCUAACGCGUUAAGUCGACCGCCUGGGGAGUACGGCCGCAAGGUUAAAACUCAAAUGAAUUGACGGGGGCCCGCACAAGCGGUGGAGCAUGUGGUUUAAUUCGAUGCAACGCGAAGAACCUUACCUGGUCUUGACAUCCACGGAAGUUUUCAGAGAUGAGAAUGUGCCUUCGGGAACCGUGAGACAGGUGCUGCAUGGCUGUCGUCAGCUCGUGUUGUGAAAUGUUGGGUUAAGUCCCGCAACGAGCGCAACCCUUAUCCUUUGUUGCCAGCGGUCCGGCCGGGAACUCAAAGGAGACUGCCAGUGAUAAACUGGAGGAAGGUGGGGAUGACGUCAAGUCAUCAUGGCCCUUACGACCAGGGCUACACACGUGCUACAAUGGCGCAUACAAAGAGAAGCGACCUCGCGAGAGCAGGCGGACCUCAUAAAGUGCGUCGUAGUCCGGAUUGGAGUCUGCAACUCGACUCCAUGAAGUCGGAAUCGCUAGUAAUCGUGGAUCAGAAUGCCACGGUGAAUACGUUCCCGGGCCUUGUACACACCGCCCGUCACACCAUGGGAGUGGGUUGCAAAAGAAGUAGGUAGCUUAACCUUCGGGAGGGCGCUUACCACUUUGUGAUUCAUGACUGGGGUGAAGUCGUAACAAGGUA